rnacentral:rRNA from 1 species
AGUCGUGCGAGAAAGUAUCUUCGGAUAUGAGUAGAGCGGCGGACGGGUGAGUAACGCGUAGGAAUCUACCUAGUAGAAGGGGAUAGCCCGGGGAAACUCGGAUUAAUACCGUAUACCUCCUUAGGGAGAAAGAAGGCCUCUCUUUGAAGCUUUCGCUACUAGAUGAGCCUGCGUAAGAUUAGCUUGUUGGUGAGGUAAUGGCUCACCAAGGCGACGAUCUUUAGCGGGUCUGAGAGGACGAUCCGCCACAUUGGGACCGAGACACGGCCCAGACUCCUACGGGAGGCAGCAGUGGGGAAUAUUGGACAAUGGGCGCAAGCCUGAUCCAGCCAUACCGCGUGUGUGAAGAAGGCCCUAGGGUUGUAAAGCACUUUAAGUUGGGAAGAAAAGUUAUUGGUUAAUACCCAAUAACCGUGACAUUACCUUCAGAAUAAGGACCGGCUAAUUCCGUGCCAGCAGCCGCGGUAAUACGGAAGGUCCAAGCGUUAAUCGGAAUUACUGGGCGUAAAGCGCGCGUAGGUGGUUUAUUAAGUUGGAUGUGAAAUCCCCCGGGCUAAACCUGGGAACUGCAUCCAAAACUGAUUUCACUAGAGUACGAUAGAGGGAGGUA